AAAAAGUCAAACCUUGGGUUUCCGUGUCCAACUUUGACUGUCCGUCUUAUAUGAAAUUUUUUUAUAAUUCGUAUUUUCAUUGUUGUUAGAUGAUAAAAUAUAAUUAAUAUUUUAUGUGUGACUUGUCUUUUUUAAUUUUUUUUUAUAACUUUUUUAAAUAAGAUAGACGGUCAAACAUUGUCCACGGAAAUUAGGGUUUGUCUUUUU
rfam:Oryza glaberrima chromosome 7 Oglab07_0135_18, whole genome shotgun sequence.